GUCAGGAGAGAGCCCCGCCAGGCGGGGCCGCCGAAGGCGCAGGUCCCCGUGUUGCAAGGGGCCCGAACGCUCAGGCAAAAGGACUGAC
rnacentral:ncRNA from 2 species